UUUCCGGCAGCAGUGUGUCUUGCACUGAAGCACCAACAGCUAAACGGUAUCAUCCACCUAAACGUGUUUAUGAUUCACCCCUCCUGGGUAGAAGUGGGCUUUAUUCACUAACUGGUGACUAUUCUGGUCCACAUGGUUCGUGUCUACAGACUUUGUUGAAUGCGGCUUCAGCGGAAUCAUGUAGAGAUCGAUUUUUGCAUUGGUGGGUGAACGUUAGCUGUUAGCAUUUUAGGGGCCCGGCUUUAUGUAAGCACAAAGACCGUCUAAGGCCUCUCUUUUUAGCCAUGUAUCCUUCCUGGGGGAAUUUCAGUGGAUCCCAGUCGCAAAACUAUGGAGGGUCUGGGCCUCGUAAGCCGGCCGGGGGUGGCCAACCCGGCCCAGCAGCGGGAUUCGGCGGCUUUGAGGCCAAUGCAGGCGGCUCUCUGUUCUCCAGCCUCCAGGAGCAACACCUCCAACAGAUGCAGCAGCUGCAGAUGCUGCACCAGAAACAGCUCCAGUCAGUGUUACACCAUGGCGCCAAUGCCAGUGGGUACAGUGGGGGACAGUCAGGUGGGUUCCCAGCACCAGCGUGGCAUUCAGAGUCAACGGGUCAUCCAGACGACGGUGCUGGGGCUCAGUCGUACUUUCAGCAGGACGAGACCCCUGGGUCAACGUCCAGAGGCCCCCCUCCUCCUCAACCAGGUAACCAACAGCCUCCUCCACCUCCACCCCAGCCGAAGCCCAAUGAGCCCAAACCGGCUCCUCCCCCUCCAGAGCCCCCGGCAGUGAAACCACCUGAGAACACCGGCGUUCCUGAGGCCUCCAAAAAAGAUUCAACUAUGAAAGAAGAAGACAAAUCUUCAAAUUUACAGCAACAACAGCAACUUUGGUACAAACAACAUCUUCAAAAUCUUCAGAAGUUAAAGCAAGAAAAGGCCAAACAGAAUCAGAAAGAGGGACCUGUGCCGCCUCCACCUCGGGGUAAAGCAGUUCCUCCUCCUCCUCCAUCAGAACCACCUAAAGGCAAACCACCUCCACCCCCUCCAAAAGAGGAACCCCCAGUACCUCCUCCACCUCCAGAAGAAGCACUGAGGGAAAAUGUAGGGAAACCGCCGGAAUUUACAGACACACCUGAGGUGCCAAAGGAUCCAGAGGAGGCUGUUCGCCUGCAGCAGUUACAGGCUGCAGCAGCGCAGUGGCAACAGGUGCAGCAGCAGAGAGCUGGUUUACAAUACCAGGCUCUCAUGCAGCAGCACGAAAAGCUUCAGCAGGUCCUGGAACGAUACCAACAGCUCAUUCAGCAACCUGCAAAUAUACAGUCAAUGUCGGCUGAGAUGCAGUUACGGCACUUUGAAACGCAACUGCAGCAGUUCACCCCUUUGUUCCAAGACUGGGGUCGCUCCUUUGUCCUAUGGCAUGAACAGUUCAAGACUUAUCCCCACAAAGACCAACUGCAGGACUAUGAGCACCAAUGGAAGCAGUGGCAGGAUCAGAUGAACGCUACUAAUGCACACCUUCAGGAAAGGGUGGCCACUCUUAAUGCCAUGGUGCCAUUUGCCUCAAGCCAGUAUAGUAGUGGGACGAUGGGACAAUAUGGCCAGUACCCUGGACAAGAUAUGCCAAUGCAGCAGCAGUCAGUGACACCUGGUUUGCAACAUUCCCCUGUUGCUGUGGGAACUAGACCCCAAGGGCCAACACCCACAAGCUUUGGACCACAGUCAGAUUCAUGUGCUCUAACCCCAGUGGGAGGGCCUGGCCCUGCUGGCGUUGUCAGACCUCCAGGUCCCCCAACUGUUCAGCAACCAAGCUUCAACGGUAUAAGAGGUCCACGAGGAAACAACCCUAGGUUUGACCAGCCACAGCAAGGUUUUGAUGGUCCCCCCAGGUUCGAUCAUCCACAACAGCGUUUUGAUGGCCCCCCUCGAUUUGAGCAACCAAGGCAGCGCUUUGACGGUCCCCCUCGAUUUGAGCAACCAAGGCAGCGCUUUGAUGGACCCCCUAGACUUGACUUACCAAGGCAGCGCUUUGAUGGACCCCCUAGACUUGACUUACCAAGGCAGCGCUUUGAUGGGCCCCCUAGAUUUGACCAACCAAGGCAGCGCUUUGAUGGUCCCCCUAGAUUUGACCAUCCAAGGCAGCAUUUUGAUGGUCCCCCUAGAUUUGACCAACCUCGAUUUGGGCAGCAGCCCCGGUUUGAACAGUCCCCAAGGCCCCCUGGCCCUCAGCCUCGUUUUGAACGCCCACCUAUGCCCCAGCAAAAACAACAGCAAGGUCCCCAACCUAAGGCAGAACCAGCCAGUAAACAACUUGCUAGUAUGGAUUCUAAUACUACAGGAAGAACAACUGGGAAGCCACAGACUGAAAAAGAAAAAAAAGAUUCUGGCACGGAUAAUACUGCCAAUGCUGUAGACAUGACAGAUGAUAACUUGCUUGGAACUGAAGGCUUUUUUGUCCAAAAUGACCCCAUUCCUCAGACUUUACCGACAAACGCAACACCAGAAGAGCUGGACGGCAACAACUCUUCUAACAGUAGUGAAAAAUCCAAAGCUGUCAACAACAAACCCCCUGUAACUGCUCCCUCUGCAAUAGAUUCCAGUAAUUCUUCUUCUACACAAAAGCCUCUCAAACCAGAAGGACCAACAGCAAACAAUAAACCCCAAAAUGUUUCAAAGAUCCCCGGAAACCAACAAGGACUGCAAGGUUCUGGCCAAAUGCAAUCAAGACCCGAUCCUGCAAGGCCUCCCCAAGGAAGAGGACGUGGCCAACCACCGCCACCAGUACCAGUUGCACCUCAUGGGCGGGGACGAGGGCAUAAGGGUGGUGAAGAGUUCAAGGGUCCUAACACUGAACCGCUUGGAGAGGACAUGGGAAACAUGUCGUAUGAUUACAUGCAAACUGAAGAAAACUUUGAGGUGCCAGAAGAGCAGGAAGAGUAUCAAUGGGAAGAUCCCUCAUACGAGGAGUAUGGUGGUGGGGAGUCUGAGGUGCCUGCUGAAGAAAUGUGGAUGCCAGAGAAUUUUCACUUCUCAACAGAGGAAGAGUAUUAUGAGGAACCUAUUGGGGGACCUUAUAUGGGAAGAGGAAGGCCUCCAAUGAUGAGAGGAGGGCAUCCUAUGGGAAGAGGAGGCCCACCUAUGGGCAGAGGUGGUCCUCCUUCGGUGAGGGGAGGUCCACCUAUGGGCAGAGGUGGUCCUCCUCCGGGGAGAGGAGGUCCACCUAUGGGUAGAGGGGGACCACCUAUGGGGAGAGGAGGUCCACCUAUGGGUAGGGGAAUGCCUCCUUUUGUACGAGGGGGUCCACCAAUGGGUAGAGGGGGUCCCCCUCUCGGAAGAGGAGGGCCGCCCAUGGGAAGAGGAGGACCUCCCAUGGGUAGAGGGGGACCCCCCAUGGGAAGAGGGGGACCCCCCAUGGGAAGAGGGGGACCCCCCAUGGGAAGAGGAGAACCAAUUGACAUGAACUGGGAAGACUCUGAUGCUGCUGAGUACCCAGAGGAAGGUGAACCUUUCUGGGGAGAAAUGAGACCUCCAAUGAGAGGUAUGAGACCCCCAUUCCCCCCUGGGCGGGGUCGUCCCCCGCGUGGACAUCCUGGCUUUAUGCAUCCAGGGCGGGGACACCCCCCUCAUCACCCACAUGGGCCAAUGGAUUACGAUUCAUUAGGUCAUGGAAUGGAGACUGAUGAUGCAGAAAUGGAUCAAGCAAUGAUGUACCAUGACCCUCAUGGCCAUCCAAUGCACGCUGAUGUAGGUAGAGGCAGGCGCCGUGUGCCGCCACCUCCUCAUGAAGUAUUGGAAUCCAUGGAAGAGCCAUCAUUCGAAGAAGGAAUGGAAAGAGAAUUAGGAUGGGAACCGCCACAUGGCAGAGGCCCCCCUUUGCCUCCACAUGAGAUGAUGGAUUCGGGAGGAAUAAGGAGGAGACCUAUGGGCCGUGGAAUGGCUAGAGGAAUGUGGCGACCUGGUCCAACACAUGAAGAGUAUGAAGAGGGAUAUAAAGAGGGUUUUGUUGAGGAUUAUGGUCAUGGGGAAGAUGGGUAUCGCUGGAGGCCCCCAACAGAGUACCCUCCAGAAGACUAUCGCCAUGAGGCCAAGUACUACGAGUCUGAGUGGGACAGAGAGCGUUCUCCUCUUGAAAGGGACUACCCCCUGCGGAAGCCACCACCAGAGCCCUACAGAGACAGCCACUGGCAAGAGGAAAGAGACAGAGAAAGGGAAAGGGAAAGGGAAAGGGGUCCCUCGUUUCCCUAUGAUGAACGUGACCGGGGAAGAGGAGAGCUUAGAAUCCGUGAAUACAGGGAUGAGCCACCGCCACCAUCAGAAUGGGACAGAUCUUCACGACAUCCUCCACCACCAGAGAGAGGGUAUCCUUCUGACUAUGAAGACCGCGGAGCUCGUUACGAUGAGCGCAGGGAGGAAUCCCCUUUAGAUAGACCUCCACCCUUACCUCCUGCUGCACCUGUCCCUAAUUUGCCAGAGACGUCAGUUGAUCCAGCACAACAAGGAUCAAAUGUACUAGCUCUCUCUCAACGUCAACAUGAGAUCAUCUUGAAAGCUGCUCAAGAACUUAAACUUAUAAGAGAAUUACAAGAGGGGAAGACAGCUAGUACUGAACAACCUCAGCCUGCAUCAGCUGACAUCCUACCUGAUCUUCCUGCUGGUCUACUUGGUUUGGAGAUCCCAGCAGAUGUCAGGAAUGUUUUAAAGGGCAUGACUGCAGCUGCAAAAACACCUGGAACUGAACCUGCAUCAUGGGAUACUACACCUGUUGUUACAAAUUACCAAACAUCCCUUCCUGCUGUAUCCACACAUCAAGUUAUUCCAAAGACAGUUGAUUAUGGGCAUGGCCAUGAGCCAGGAGCCACCGUUGAGCGCAUGUCGUAUGGUGAGAGAAUUAUAUUGAGGCCUGACCCCUUGCUAUCAGACAGGGGCUAUGAAAAAGAGCCUCUUGGUCUCAGAGAUCCUUAUGGCAGAGACCCUUAUUAUGACAGACGAUCUGACCCUUACAUGGAACGUCGGGAUUACAGCAGGGAGAGGGAAUUGUACAGAAAAGAGCUUCCUCCUGAAUAUGAGAGAGAGCGAUUUGAGAGGGAGCGCUAUCCCCCGAGAGAGAGAGAUGAAAGAUCUGCACUGGCACCUGCUUCACGUUCAGGGUACAGGGAGAGGGAGCGAAGUGACAUUCGAGAGAGGGACCGAAGUGACAGUCGAGAUCGAGAGGACCAUUAUGCAAGGCCUGGCUACGAAAGACCUACAUAUGAGCGAUCUGGACUUGACCGCAGUGGGCCUGAGCGUUAUGGACAUAGUUCCUCGCCUUAUGCAGAUAGAAGAAGUUAUCCAGAGGACCGUGGGCCUCCUGCUGCAGCACCUCUCCCACCUCCACCUCAGCCUCCCCCUAGAGUCGAAAAGAAGCCUGAAAUCAAGAAUAUUGACGAUCUACUCAAACCACCAGGGAGGUCAUCGCGGCCUGAAAGGAUAGUAAUCAUCAUGAGAGGGCUUCCAGGAAGUGGAAAAAGCCAUGUCGCAAAGCUCAUACGGGAUAAAGAAGUUGAUUGUGGCGGUGCACCUCCAAGAGUUCUUGUUCUAGACGACUAUUUCAUGACAGAGGUUGAGAAGGUUGAGAAAGAUCCAGACACUGGGAGAAGGGUCAAAACCAAGGUUCUGGAGUAUGAGUAUGAACUGGAGAUGGAGGACACCUACCGGAGCAGCAUGCUCAAAACAUUUAAGAAAACUCUGGACGACGGCUUUUUCCCCUUCAUCAUUUUGGACACUAUCAAUGACAGGGUGAAACAUUUUGAUCAGUUCUGGAGCGCUGCCAAAACAAAAGGCUUUGAGGUGUACCUGGCUGAAAUCACUGCAGACACUCAGACCUGUUGUAAAAGAAAUGUCCAUGGGCGCAGUCUUAAGGAUAUAAUGAAGAUGUCUAAUAACUGGGAGCCCUCACCGCGUCACAUGGUGCGCUUAGAUGUCCGGUCCCUGCUUCAAGAUGCUGCUAUAGAGGAGGUUGAAAUGGAAGACUUCAAUCCAGAUGAUGAACCCAAGGAACCCAAGAGAGAGGAGGAAGAAGAAAGUGAUCUGGGCUACAUUCCAAAAAGCAAAUGGGAGAUGGACACGUCUGAGGCGAAACUUGACAAGUUGGACGGUCUGGGGAGCAGCGGAAAGAGGAAACGUGAAGACAUGGCGGGCAUGGAUCACUUCCUUCAGCUGCCAGACGACUAUGCCACACGCAUGUCUGAGCCAGGAAAGAAAAGGGUUCGAUGGGCUGAUCUUGAAGAGCAGAAAGAUGCAGAUCGAAAGCGCGCUAUUGGCUUUGUGGUGGGUCAGACGGACUGGGAGAGAAUAACCGAUGAGAGCGGCAAGCUGGCACAAAAAGCUCUCAACCGAACCAAGUAUUUCUAAGAAGAUAAUCUAAUGCCCCUUUUUUCCCUUCAGUGAAAGGACAUGUUAUACAACUACUCUUACUACACACCCUCAUCUAUUAUCAGUCGUUUCUUGUAAACAGGUGUCCAGAAUAUGAAAGCACUGAAUUGGACUCAUGAUGAAAUACAAGGCUCAUCGUGUAGUUCUCAUCAAGGUGACAUCAACUUUAAUCAUCAAGUUCUUAGCUUUUUCACUGAAAUGGAUUCAGGAAUGAUUUUUUUUCUUCUUAUUUUUAAACAGACGUAGUGGUUGUACUACAACAAAUGAGUAGUUUCUAAUCCUGUAGUUUUUCUGCUCAUGUUUCCUGUAGGCCUUUUCAGUCCUGUUUUUUGCUGUUUUAUAAAACUCAUGCUUUCUGUACUGUAUACUUGUAGCACUGUUUCUUGGUUUGUACAUACAUGAAAAGGACAAUAAAGUUCUCAAAUGUA